AUUGAACGCUGGCGGCAGGCUUAACACAUGCAAGUCGAGCGGAGAUGAGGUGCUUGCACCUUAUCUUAGCGGCGGACGGGUGAGUAAUGCUUAGGAAUCUGCCUACUAGUGGGGGACAACAUUCCGAAAGGAAUGCUAAUACCGCAUACGCCCUACGGGGGAAAGCAGGGGAUCUUCGGACCUUGCGCUAAUAGAUGAGCCUAAGUCGGAUUAGCUAGUUGGUGGGGUAAAGGCCUACCAAGGCGACGAUCUGUAGCGGGUCUGAGAGGAUGGUCCGCCACACUGGGACUGAGACACGGCCCAGACUCCUACGGGAGGCAGCAGUGGGGAAUAUUGGACAAUGGGGGGAACCCUGAUCCAGCCAUGCCGCGUGUGUGAAGAAGGCCUUAUGGUUGUAAAGCACUUUAAGCGAGGAGGAGGCUACUGAGACUAAUACUCUUGGAUAGUGGACGUUACUCGCAGAAUAAGCACCGGCUAACUCUGUGCCAGCCGCCGCAGUAACAC
rnacentral:rRNA from 1 species